UUGGAAGAUCAUUCAGAUGUUUUGCGGAUCAUUCAGAUGUUUUGUACCACCUGGUACCCAGAAGCUGUCACUCUCCACCUGGUAACCUCCAAGACCAUCACAAAGGAGAUGAUCCUGUUGUGCAGCCACAGAAACUCAUCACCAAUCAGGGCGAGCCCUUCGUCUUCAGGCUAAAGAAGGACCUCUGUCGGCUACUCUAGGUGCAACACCUGCGCACCUCCGUCUACCUCCUCCAGAUUGUAGAAUUCAAACAGACCCUGAAGAGGAUGCUGCGGCAGGUUAUAGCAGAGAUCAGCCGCACGUGGGACCUAAUAAUCCUGAAUGUGCUGUUUUCGGAGUGUGAAAUCCCCCAGACCCCCACCGGUUUCUUUCUUCUGUAAAGACAUCUUAAUGAAAGUGGCAUUGUAGAGCUUCAGUGGAAAGAUACUUAUUAUUGACCUACAAGUGAAGAUGGGUAUUUUCAGACAUGGCUAUUUCUAGAUUCAACUUACUUUUAUCUUAAUUUGUAUGUUCUCCGACAUUUCACAUGCUGAUAGUUGAUGAUGGUCCUGUCUCAAUUUGCAUAAUAUCCAUACUAUGGUAUAUUUCAGAUAACGAUCAGCAUGCCCCAAACAAUAGUGGUUUACUAUUGUCCAGUACUAUUGCACAAGUGGAUUUUCGAAGUAUGUAACCGUCUAUGCUUUUUGAGGAAAUAUUGCCCACAACCACUUGUGCAAUGAAAGAGGAGAGCUUUGUGACAAUUCUCCCGACUUUGAGAGUUUUCAAAAGGUCAGAAGAAGACACAGGAUGCCUAAUUACCUGGCCUACCACUAAAGGUUUCUUCUUUACAGGAAAAAAGGCACUAUCAAAGGAACAUUCAUUCUUGAAAGCUGGAAUUCUUGGAGCUUGUUGGGUCAAAGCAAUUGUGGGAGUGAAUACAGCACAGGCUCCAUUCACUGCUGUGGGCUUUAUCGGGAUGUGACAGCCAACGAUGGAUGGGACUGCAUGAAAGACAGUUGAGCAUGCCAGUCUGGCAAACCCUGUGCCCACCUACUCUACUUCCUCACACUCUGGGAGACAAACAACUUUUUUAACAGCCCUACUGACCAUGUGCACAAACGUGUGUAAUGUGGACCUAGGCAAGCAGCCAACACUUGAUAGGAUGCAGUAUGAACCAAGAAGUACAGGAACACAAGGACCUCCACCUCCUUGUACCACCCAUGCCGCGGUCACUUCCACUAUGGAUGCCUUAGUCAGUGGCAGGUCAGAA